rnacentral:miRNA from 1 species
AAGGCAACCUUAAUAUUACAAUUACUUAAGAUUCUCUUGAUUGGUUCUGUGGAACCAAUCAAGAGAAUCUUAAGUAAUUGUAAUAUUAAGGUUGCCUUAAUAUUAAGGUU